GGGACCACUUCCUCUUUCUUUGCUGCUCCCUCAGUUAAGUACAACCUAUCUCACUGUUUUACUAACUGUGGGAUCUUUAUUUCAUUGUGAAUAAAACUUUGAUUGCUGGUACUUUAGUGCUAUUUUAUAUAUGUGUUUAUUGAGCUUUACAGUAAUAUUAUGUAGACUGGUUUUCCCUCCCCUCUUUUCCCUAUUGGGGUUUUUUC